rnacentral:snRNA from 1 species
UCGAUUCCCGAUCCGUGUA